AGCGUCCGUAGCUGGCCGCGCAAGUCCCAUCGGGAAAUCCACCUGCUCAACAGGUGGGCGCCCGGUAGAAACUGCGUGGCUUGGGACCGGAAGGCGCGACGGGUACGUCCGGGGUAGGAGUGAAAUCCCGUAAUCCUGGACGGACCGCCGAUGGCGAAAGCACGUCGCGAGGACGGAUCCGACAGUGAGGGACGAAAGCCAGGGUCUCGAACCGGAUUAGAUACCCGGGUAGUCCUGGCCGUAAACAAUGUCUGCUAGGUGUGGCUCCCACUACGAGUGGGUGCUGUGCCGUAGGGAAGCCGCUAAGCAGACCGCCUGGGAAGUACGUCCGCAAGGAUGAAACUUAAAGGAAUUGGCGGGGGAGCACUACAACCGGAGGAGCCUGCGGUUUAAUUGGACUCAACGCCGGACAUCUCACCAGCAUCGACUGUAAUAAUGACGACCAGGUUGAUGACCUUGUCCGAGUUUCAGAGAGGAGGUGCAUGGCCGCCGUCAGCUCGUACCGUGAGGCGUCCUGUUAAGUCAGGCAACGAGCGAGACCCGCACCCUUACUUGCCAGCAGUAUCGCGAGAUAGCUGGGG
rnacentral:rRNA from 1 species